AGCAAGAAGUAGGAACUUGAAGAGGGACCACCUGUAUCCAAUCAGGAAUUUGCACAGGUGCUGCAUGGCUGUCGUCAGCUCGUGCCGUGAGGUGUUAGGUUAAGUCCUGCAACGAGCGCAACCCUCGUCGCUAGUUAAUUUCUCUGGCGAUACUGCCCGUAAAACGUGGAGGAAGGUGGGGAUGACGUCAAGUCAGCAUGGCCUUUAUGUCUUGGGCUACACACACGCUACAAUGGAUGGUACAAAGGGUUGCCAAAGAGCGAUCUGGAGCUAAUCCCAAAAAACCAUCCUCAGUUCAGAUUGUAGGCUGCAACUCGCCUGCAUGAAGUUGGAGUUGCUAGUAACCGCGCGUCAGCUAUAGUGCGGUGAAUACGUUCCCGGGGCUU
rnacentral:rRNA from 1 species